UCCAGGACAGCUAGGGCUACACAGAGAAACCCUAUCUCGAAAAACAAACAAAAAAAGAGAUAAUGUAAAGGCCCAGAAACCACGUUCUCUGAAAUGCUGGAAGAGACCACAGGUAGGGGGCCACAAGUAGAGAUCAGUAGCCAAGCAAGUAGGACAGGCCUUUUCUUGCUGACAGCUGUGAGGCAAAGGGCUGUCAUGUUCCAGAUGCAUGAAAGAGCCGACAAAUAGGAUUGGUUCCGAGAAUAGCAGAAACGUAGGCUAGAAAGGUGAGCCAGAGGGCAUUUUUCGGUACAGUACAGGGAAAUUGAACAUUGUGGUUGUCAUUCUUUAAGGGAGGCUGCUGAUGGCUGCAAAGUCAGGGUUAGUGUGAACUCGGCAGAGCAUCUGUCUGGUGAGAUGUCUAGCACAUUCUAGCACUGGCACCUGCUCCAUGCCAGGUCUGGCCUGCACAGAGGAUACCACAAGCACAGCCUUUGUCUAUCCUCAAGAUGUUCCUGGUCCAGCUGGAAAGGCGUGUAUUAACAUCCAGUGUAAUCAAUGACAUCAUAGGACAGACAGCCAGGAAGACCUCAUCAGGACCAGAAGAUAUCAGCACCAUUCUUCUGGACCCUUCAGUUGUGAGCCAAAGAAUUCUGUCUCUGUUUUUAAAAAAUGAUGCAUG